rnacentral:rRNA from 1 species
CCUACGGGGGGCAGCAGUGAGGAAUAUUGGUCAAUGGGCGAGAGCCUGAACCAGCCAAGUCGCGUGAGGGAGUACUGCCCUAUGGGUUGUAAACCUCUUUUGUCGGGGAGCAAAAGCCGGACGUGUCCGGCUGUGAGAGUACCCGAAGAAAAAGCAUCGGCUAACUCCGUGCCAGCAGCCGCGGUAAUACGGAGGAUGCGAGCGUUAUCCGGAUUUAUUGGGGUUAAGGGGUGCGCAGGCGGAUUUUUAAGUCAGCGGUCAAAUCGUGGGGCUCAACCCCAUCCAGCCGUGGAAACUGGGGAUCUAGAGUGUGCGAGAGGUAUGCGGAAUGCGUGGUGUAGCGGUGAAAUGCAUAGAUAUCACGCAGAACCCCGAUUGCGAAGGCAGCAUACCGGUGCACAACUGACGCUCAGGCACGAAAGCGUGGGUAUCGAACAGGAUUAGAUACCCCGGUAGUC